CCAAACCAGUGCAAGGCCCCUUUAAAUCCAGACAAGGCUCCUAUAUAUACAACUCAAACCCUAGGGUUUAUUUCCAUUGCCAUAUCCAAUUUCCCCCUUUCGUAGAGGCGAUUUCUCAACUAGAGUUUCUCCUUCAACCAUGAGAGCUAAGUGGAAGAAGAAGCGCAUGAGGAGGUUGAAGAGGAAGCGCCGAAAGAUGAGGCAGAGAUCUAAGUAGCCUACCGAUUUCGCAGCGCGUCGUUUCUAGGGUUUCAAUUUCGUUUACGUUAUUUGCUUCUCGAAUUUUCUUAUGUAUUAGUGUAAUGACGCUUUUGGAUCUACUAUUUAAUCGAUAUGAGAUUUUCGUCAAAAA